rnacentral:rRNA from 1 species
GGGGGAUCAUUACACAAUAUGAGGGCGGGCUGGAAUCUCUCGGGGUUACAGCCUUGCUGAAUUAUUCACCCUUGUCUUUUGCGUACUUCUUGUUUCCUUGGUGGGUUCGCCCACCACUAGGACAAACAUAAACCUUUUGUAAUUGCAAUCAGCGUCAGUAACAAAUUAAUAAUUACAACUUUCAACAACGGAUCUCUUGGUUCUGGCAUCGAUGAAGAACGCAGCGAAAUGCGAUAAGUAGUGUGAAUUGCAGAAUUCAGUGAAUCAUCGAAUCUUUGAACGCACAUUGCGCCCUUUGGUAUUCCAAAGGGCAUGCCUGUUCGAGCGUCAUUUGUACCCUCAAGCUUUGCUUGGUGUUGGGCGUCUUGUCUCUAGCUUUGCUGGAGACUCGCCUUAAAGUAAUUGGCAGCCGGCCUACUGGGUUCAGAACGCAACACAAAUCGGACUCUCUAUCAAAAAAAGGCUAACAACCCUUAAAAGCGUUUUUCCACCUUUAAACUCCGGACCGGGUAAGAUAUACGGUAAGAAUUCACCCAUAGAUUAACCCGAAGGAAA